rnacentral:rRNA from 1 species
ACAACAAAACAAAACAAAACAAAACAAAACAACGAAAAACAAAAACAAAAUGCAACAACAACGCAAGUCUUCGUUUCCCUUUGCUACCAGA